GGGCCGUUGAGCUCAGUCAGUUGAGCAAGGCGCUAACAGUGCCAAGGUCGCGGGUUUGAUUCCCGUUUGGUCCC
rfam:Apaloderma vittatum contig64483, whole genome shotgun sequence.